GGCGCACGGGUGCGUAACACGUGGGUAAUCAACCCUUUGGACUGGGACAACCCGGGGAAACUCGGGCUAAUACCGGAUACGUCGCGGAGAACUUCGGUUCUCUUCGGGAAAGGCCCGCAAGGGCUACCAAUGGACGAGCUCGCGGCCCAUCAGCUUGUUGGUGAGGUAAUGGCUCACCAAGGCUUAGACGGGUAGCUGGUCUGAGAGGAUGAUCAGCCACACUGGAACUGAGACACGGUCCAG
rnacentral:rRNA from 1 species